rnacentral:lncRNA from 1 species
ACUUUAACUAAAUUUCCCAAAAUUAAAAAUUUGCCUUGGCCUGGGAUUGAACCAGGAACUUCGGGUUACCGUCCCAGUAAUACUAGUUAGACUACCAAGACAUCGGCAAAUUUUCAAUUUCAGGAAAAUACAUAUAUAAAUAAUAAUAUAUAAUAAUAAUAUAAAUAAAUACACAUAUACCACCCUCUUUAUUCUAAAAUGGUCUCCCGACCCUUUUUAUUAUAAAAUAGUGACUUUUCGUUUUCUUUUAAAACGUGUGAUGACUCACUGUGGUGAUAUGCAAAGUAAAGACAGUGAAUUUAAAUGGAUUUUAGACCAAGCCAUCAAGCAUAGUUAUACACCAUCAUUUGUAUAGUAUUUUUAAUUCAAUAACUAAUACACCUAAUGCAUCCCAUGACUUAUAAAAUCACCUUACCCAACAAAAUAAUGGGAUUUUCCUACACUCUAUACUGUUUACCUAUGCCAUCCAUCCAUUAAAGAAAGCCUUAAAAGAAAACGAUUUAAUUCUACGUUUUAAUAGACUAAAUACUAUCUAUAAUGGUUUAAAGAAUGUUAAGCCUCCAGUACCAAUGAAACAAAGGGCAGGUGUAUAUCUAAUACCAAUAUACAAUAAUGAUCUUGGUAGAAAUGAAAUAUAUAUAGGUAAUACAAUCUGCUUAUUAGAAAUUAGAAUUACUGAGCAUAAAUGUGAUAUACAUAACAUGAUAUCUAUGAAUAUAACAUUGAUAUUUAUUGGGAUAGAGCUAAAUUUAUACAACCUACUAAUAAUAUGUCUGAAAUUAAGUUAGCUGAGGCUCUUUGUAUAAAACAAUAUCUUAAAAAAUGCCAUGUAAUUAAUGACAACCCUCCUGAAGCCAUCCCACCCUCUUGCGAUGCAAUAUAGAUAUAAUGUGUUCCCUAUAUUUUACAGUUAUGUAUUUUUCUUUUUAUUUAUUUCAUCUUAUAUAUACUUUAUAUAAUUUUUAUAUUUGUUCUCCUGAAGCCAUCCCACCCUCUUGCGAUG